rnacentral:rRNA from 1 species
GACGAACGCUGGCGGCGUGCUUAACACAUGCAAGUCGAACGGUGAAGGGACCGGUUUUUGCUGGUUCUGGAUGAGUGGCGAACGGGUGAGUAACACGUGAGUAACCUGCCCCCUUCUUCUGGAUAACCGCAUGAAAGUGUGGCUAAUACGGGAUAUUCUGCGCCUGCUGCAUGGUGGGUGUGGGAAAGAUAUUGUUUCGGUGGGGGAUGGGCUCGCGGCCUAUCAGCUUGUUGGUGGGGUGAUGGCCUACCAAGGCGGUGACGGGUAGCCGGCCUGAGAGGGUGGACGGUCACACUAGGACUGAGACACGGCCCAGACUCCUACGGGAGGCAGCAGUGGGGAAUAGUGCACAAUGGGCGCAAGCCUGAUGCAGCGACGCCGCGUGAGGGAUGGAGGCCUUCGGGUUGUAAACCUCUUUCGCCAGUGAAGCAGGCCUGUCCCUUUUGUGGGUGGGUUGACGGUAGCUGGAUAAGAAGCGCCGGCUAACUACGUG